GACGAACGCUGGCGGCGUGCUUAACACAUGCAAGUCGAACGGAAAGGCCCUGCUUUUGUGGGGUGCUCGAGUGGCGAACGGGUGAGUAACACGUGAGUAACCUGCCCUUGACUUUGGGAUAACUUCAGGAAACUGGGGCUAAUACCGGAUAGGAGCUCCUGCUGCAUGGUGGGGGGUGGAAAGUUUCGGCGGUUGGGGAUGGACUCGCGGCUUAUCAGCUUGCUGGUGGGGUAGUGGCUUACCAAGUCUUUGACGGGUAGCCGGCCUGAGAGGGUGACCGGCCACAUUGGGACUGAGAUACGGCCCAGACUCCUACGGGAGGCAGCAGUGGGGAGUAUUGCACAAUGGGCGGAAGCCUGAUGCAGAAACGCCGCGUGCGGGAUGACGGCCUUCGGGUUGUAAACCGCUUUCGCCUGUGACGAAGCGUGAGUGACGGUAAUGGGUAAAGAAGCACCGGCUAACUACGUG
rnacentral:rRNA from 1 species